AAUAGAAAUUAACGAUUUAAUAAACAAAUAAAGUCUAAGUUUGAAUAGGUGGAGCAACUUUAUAGAUGUCGUGAAAAAAAACACGUGACACACACGUGAGUUUAAGUAGGAAAGCCGAAGAUUCAUAAAAACAGCAUUUGUGAAAUUGACUAAACCGCAUGUAAUGGACUGUAAAGACUGCGAGGGCAGUGUAAUGUAGCAACAGAGCUUCAAAAGCACCGGUCAUCUCUGACCUCUUCCCCUCCAAGAUGACAUCCAAUUCAAAGAAACCAAAAGACACUGAGCUGCACAGUGUGUCUACCCUAAAGCCACUGUGUGUAUUUGCGUGUUGUGCGUGUUCUCCUGGAAAGCUGCUGCCAAUCCAAGGAAUUAGCUGAACUUCCUUUAAACUUCAUUUGCAUAAAGGCUUAGAGAGUCUCGACCAUCUGCUUAAAACAACCACUUUGUUUUCUUGUCUAAGGUGUAUACUUUUGAGAUACCAUCUAGCAGAUCUAAUUAAAAAAAGAAGAAAGCCAAGCGUGUGAUAAUCUAGCACAAAUAAAUUUACUGUAGUGUUGCCGUUUCUUUCCUCCAGAACACCGACCCGCAUCUAGAACAAACAAAACUGUUGUGAAAGCCUUUCUUUUAGUUUCAGUGUUGCUUAAAAUUUUGCUUGCAAAUGCUUUCAGAGAUCUUUGGCACUUUCACUGAUAUGUCAGACACAGUGCACAGUUAAUAUGCUUUGUAGAGAUGUGGCUGUAUGUGUGUUUGCCUUUGUGUGUUUCUCGGUGCCAUUUCUGCCUGUGCAAUUUUCUCCCUCGAGACAGACCAGGAGAGAACUGAAAUUCUCAGGUAAAAAUUAUUUUGCUGUGGACCAUAAAUAUUUGAAAUCACUAAGGGAUGACAGAAGGAUGGCAACUAGUAACCUGAAAAUGUGGCUGUGGCGAAAACACGCCUUUUUCUUGAGAAUGAUCUGCAAAUGCCAGCUGAACCCACUCUAAAACUCGUGUUUCUUAAAAUGGUUAAUGAAGGUCAUGCCAGUUGCAGAGUGCUGGUUUACUACCAGGUGUUUGUGCUUGUGCAGCAGGAUAUGGUAUUUUCACUGAUUAUUGCUGCAUAGAAAGAACUAAGUGAGGAACACAGUGCCAUCCAGUGUGGUGAAUGGGAAAAUCCUCUUAUUAGAAAAAUGACUUAUUACGGCAGGAUCAAGGAGAUAUUGCACGUAAAUUAAAUAUAGCAAUUAGCAAACUUAAUACGACUUUAUUUAAACUGUAAUGCUUUUCAUUUGAAAGUAAUGUUUGCUGAUAUUAUUUAGCCCCAACAAUCAGACACAGGCAGCUGGCAUCACUGCAACAUCUGGGCUCCCAGAUGUAACAAAAUAUUGACAGUGCCAGCGGCGCUGGUUAUCCCUCUACUUCAUGCUAUUGGAAGCAGAUCUGAAAUCAUCACUGAUGGUAAGUGUUAAACUGAAGUAAUUUCAUGUUUUAAUCACAGCUCACCACACUUCUUUGUUGGAGUUCCCCGCACAAUGAAUUAGUAGUCAUAAAAGUCAGAUGGCAUAAUGUUGGCUUCUGAUACAUUACAAUGAUGUGGCAGAUUUUUACGGUUAGGAUUAGGACUCAGGAGCUCUACGCCAACCGAUGAUCAGCUCACAAAAAUUUCACACACGUCCUCUAAGCCUGACCCACAGCUGUAAAUCUCAAAGACAACAGUGAUAUUGUUAAGUUUUUAUUGUCAACAUUUGUCAAAAAUCAUCAUCAUAAAGCAAAGAUCAUAAAAUGAUGUCUAUAUAUACAUAUAUUAGAUACAUUCUAAAAUAUGGCCAGAGGUUCUCUAUUGAGCUGUUACAGAUUGUAUAGGUAACCAAACUUUUUCUAACUAAAACUAAUCCAGAUUGCACACAACACAAAACCACUGGUUUAGACAUUCUGCUGAAACUAUGGUAGAUUUUAUUACCUUCUGGGAAAUAUCCAACAAAAAUCUACAGAUUUAAUUGUUUACAUUUUUGGGUUGUCCUCUUUAGUGCACAACAGCAUCUGUUCUAAUUAACUCUGGGCAGCUUGUACCCUUAGCGAUUUGUUGUAAUCAUUUUAGUGAGUCCUGUGAGAGAUUUUAGUCAUAAUAUGAAGAGUUUCCAAAAAGAAAAGGAUUUUGCUGCUAAGGGUCAACUUCAAGCCAAUUAUUAGUGCUUCAUAAGCAGCACUGGGUAGGUAGGUCUGAGGAAGAUUCUACUGAUUUAUGAAACUUACUAACUUGCUGUUGUAUCCAAAGUUAAUUAAGAAGAUCAGUAAGUUUCAGUGGGAAGUUGCUGGCCUUUCUAUACACAACAACUGGAAGCAAAGGUGGAACAACAUGUUUUCCAACAACUAUAAAGUUUUCUGAAGGAGUUUGCAGGAGCUGGGUCUAACCAGCAACCACUAGGCAAGCAAAGUGCAUGCACCUUUACUCUAGAUGAUUAAAUAUUCUCUUCUAAGUUUGAGCAAACGGAUGGAAAACAAGCAUCCUGGAAAUCAAUCUUUGCAGUGUUUUUCAAAAACAUCUGUUGUCAAAAUCCAUUAUAUUUUCUUAUGUGACUACCCGCAUCUCAACAUGAAAACAGGACAUAACUGGAUAUAGAGUGCAGUGUAGAUUAAGGCCCCUAGGCAGAUCACCAGAGAAGCACUUCUGAGUUUACAUCAGUUACAUUAGAAAGAUCCAUCCAAUACUUUAAAUCUCCUCCGACUUAGGUUUCUUACCAUCCCCUGCUGUGAAUAAAUCAUAAAUCAUUUUUCUGCCGACAUUCUUUAUUUCUAAAGAUGUCUGAACUUCUUUGUGUACCACGUAUUGUAUAUGUCUCAAUGUUUGCAGUGAGCCUGGUUUUGGUGUUCUUUGCAUUUACAUUCUCAGCCAGCCCACUUAUUUUAAGGUAUUUCAUGUUUUUUUUUUUUAAUAAAAUCAAUAAAUGUUUCAUUAAGACAAAUGAAAGCGAUACUGGUACCAACUAUGUGCUGUCUUUAAAGUCAGUGGUGCGUCACCUUUCCUUAGAAUGACUCAAUGAACGGACUAUUCUUGUUGAAUGUGUUAAAGUCAGAGCCUAACUCACCAAAUCAUUUAAAAGCUCUACGCAAAUGCUGAGAGGUUUUACAUGUCAGACUUUAAUAAACAUGGACAAUGCUAGCUGUAUAGCCCUGACCAAACCAAAUGUGUUUCUGUACAUAGGUAAAUGUUUUUGACAUUUACCUACAUUUACCUAUGUAUAUGACAUUGUUUUUGACACUGACUUGUCAUUAUCUAUGUUUUUUUUAAAACUCUUGUUAAUUUCGUUCUUUAUUCUGGACAGAUCUGCCGAUAUUUUGAUCACCAAAGUGUUCUAUCUAUUAACAAACUCUCUGGGUAGGCUAAGCAACCCAGUAACAGCAAACAGUGAGAGGUGCUUACAUGCUUGGCAGUAACACCCUGUGUUGUGACCGGUUGGUAUGGCUGCCCUCAAAAAUAUAUGGUUGCAUAUUGAACAAAGCCUGACUGAAAGAACCGUGACAGCAUCUCUUGUCUCCCCAUUUGUGAAAUUACAAAAAAAUGACACAUUUUUCACACAGCAUGUGUCGUUUGAUGUUGGCAUUUUUGAAAGACAAAACAUCAAAGAAACAUCUCUUUCUAAAGUGUUCACUUCUUCCCAAUUUCAAAAGGAAAAAAUCAAGCAAAAAAAAAAAA